CCUACGGGAGGCAGCAGUGAGGAAUAUUGGUCAAUGGACGAGAGUCUGAACCAGCCAAGUAGCGUGAAGGAUGACUGCCCUAUGGGUUGUAAACUUCUUUUAUAUGGGAAUAAAAUGUUCCACGUGUGGGAUUUUGUAUGUACCAUAUGAAAAAGGAUCGGCUAACUCCGUGCCAGCAGCCGCGGUAAUACGGAGGAUCCGAGCGUUAUCCGGAUUUAUUGGGUUUAAAGGGAGCGUAGGUGGAUUGUUAAGUCAGUUGUGAAAGUUUGCGGCUCAACCGUGAAAUUGCAGUUGAAACUGGCAGUCUUGAGUGCAGUAGAGGUGGGCGGAAUUCGUGGUGUAGCGGUGAAAUGCUUAGAUAUCACGAAGAACUCCGAUUGCGAAGGCAGUUCACUGGACUGCAACUGACACUGAGGCUCGAAAGUGUGGGUAUCAAACAGGAUUAGAUACCCUAGUAGUC
rnacentral:rRNA from 1 species